UGAGGAAUAUUGGACAAUGGGCGAAAGCCUGAUCCAGCCAUACCGCAUGAGUGAUGAAGGCCCUAGGGUUGUAAAGCUCUUUUAGUGGGGAAGAUAAUGACGGUACCCACAGAAGAAGUCCCGGCUAACUCCGUGCCAGCAGCCGCGGUAAUACGGAGGGGGCUAGCGUUGUUCGGAAUUACUGGGCGUAAAGGGUGCGUAGGCGGUCUAAUAAGUUAAAUGUGAAAGCCUUGGGCUUAACUCAAGAAGUGCAUUUAAAACUAUUAGACUUGAAUAUGAGAGAGGGCAAUGGAAUUUCUGGUGUAGGGGUGAAAUCCGUAGAUAUCAGGAGGAACGUCGGGGGCGAAAGCGAUUGCCUAGAUCAUUAUUGACGCUGAAGCACGAAAGCGUGGGGAGCAAACA
rnacentral:rRNA from 1 species